CGUUGUGUUUUUAGGGCAAGCCGCUAUCACUGCAGUGGUUUGUUCUGUUCAUGCGAUGGUUUUCGCAUGAACUUUUUGGAAGCUUGUAUCGACUUCUAAAUGCGGUUAGUUGACCGAUUUUUGCGACGCCGGUUUCGGGAUAUCUACGAUUUAUAUCUACGCCAGACACAGCUAGGCUACCCUUGUCCCUGAUGGAGAAAGUAGAAGAAACGACAAACGAUAGGUUACCUCCCUUCAACCUUAGGAUAAUUCAUUUCUCUAGAUUUGUUCUCACCUUGAGUAAAUACUAGCACUCAGGGUAAACACGUGGUAUUAGCGGCCAUCAGGACUGCGAAGAAGAAGAAGAAGAAGAAGAAGAAGAAGAAGAAGAAGAAGAAAAGAGAGGUGGAUAAAAGAGCA
rnacentral:sRNA from 1 species